rnacentral:rRNA from 1 species
ACGGGUGAGUAAUGCUUAGGAAUCUGCCUAUUAGUGGGGGACAACAUUCCGAAAGGAAUGCUAAUACCGCAUACGCCCUACGGGGGAAAGCAGGGGAUCUUCGGACCUUGCGCUAAUAGAUGAGCCUAAGUCAGAUUAGCUAGUUGGUGGGGUAAAGGCCUACCAAGGCGACGAUCUGUAGCGGGUCUGAGAGGAUGAUCCGCCACACUGGGACUGAGACACGGCCCAGACUCCUACGGGAGGCAGCAGUGGGGAAUAUUGGACAAUGGGCGAAAGCCUGAUCCAGCCAUGCCGCGUGUGUGAAGAAGGCCUUUUGGUUGUAAAGCACUUUAAGCGAGGAGGAGGCUACUUGGAUUAAUACUCUAGGAUAGUGGACGUUACUCGCAGAAUAAGCACCGGCUAACUCUGUGCCAGCAGCCGCGGUAAUACAGAGGGUGCGAGCGUUAAUCGGAUUUGCUGGGCGUAAAGCGUGCGUAGGCGGCUUCUUAAGUCGGAUGUGAAAUCCCUGAGCUUAACUUAGGAAUUGCAUUCGAUACUGGGAAGCUAGAGUAUGGGAGAGGAUGGUAGAAUUCCAGGUGUAGCGGUGAA